rnacentral:rRNA from 1 species
UACGGAGGGUGCAAGCGUUAUCCGGAAUCAUUGGGUUUAAAGGGUCCGUAGGCGGAUUAAUAAGUCAGUGGUGAAAUCCUAUAGCUUAACUAUAGAACUGCCAUUGAUACUGUUAGUCUUGAGUUAAAUUGAAGUGGAUAGAAUGUGUAGUGUAGCGGUGAAAUGCAUAGAUAUUACACAGAAUACCAAUUGCGAAGGCAGUUCACUAAGUUUACACUGACGCUGAUGGACGAAAGCGUGGGGAGCGAACAGG